AGGGCUGCACAGUGCACUUUUUCCUUGCAGCAAGAAGAUCCAUGGUUCGCGUCUUGGCACUCCCGGGAUCUUUCUGUAUGGAGUUUGCAUGUUCUCCCUGUGCAUGCGUGUGUUUUCUUCAGGCACUCCGGCUUCCUCCCACAGUCCAAAAAUAUGGUGAGAUUAAUUGAUUACUUUAAUUUGCCUGUAGGUGUGAUUGUUUGCCUGUAUAUGUAGCCCUGCAACAGACUGGUGACCUGUCCAGGGUGUCCCCUGCCUUCGCCCGAGUCAGCUGGGAUAGACUCCAGCUCCCCCGCAACCCUAGUGAGGAUAAAGCAGUGUAUAGAGAAUGGAUGAAUGGAUGGAUAUAUGGUAAAGAUUUGCACUUGUAGUGCCAUAUUUUGGGUAUGAUAUGCUAAAAUUAAAAGAUGAUGUAAUCGUGGUAAAAGCUAUUAAACUGAAGAGUAGAGUUAAAAUAUAUAUGACAUACAUAAUGAUGAAUAUUCUAGUAAUCAUUGAUGUUUUGAUGGUAUUUUGUGAGCGUGUGUGUGUGUGUGUGUGUGUGGUCAGGUGCUGGCUAUACUUGUGGGGGCCAAAUGUCCCCACAACUGUAGGAAAACCAAAAACAACAGUGUUUUCUUGGCCAUGUUGUUGUUACAGAAAAAAGUAAAAGUCCAAAAACGUUUCUUUAGGGUUAGGCAUUGUUUUGGUCUGGGUUAGGGUUAGGGUAAGGGUUAGGGGUUAGAUAUGAAUGGGAGUCAGUGGUAUGUGCCCACAAUGAUAGACAAACAUAGUGUGUGUGUGUGUGUGUGUGUGUGUGUGUGUGUGUGUGUGUGUGUGUGUGUGUGUGUGUGUGUGUGUGUGUGUGUGUUGUGAAGCAUGGAGAUAUGAGAUCCCAGAAUCAGCCACAAAGGGGAGACUCUGACAGAACAACAGCUAAAUUAGGGAACAUUGUGAUAUUAUAACUGUCAUUUAGGAUCAAAUUAUGCCAUAACCUAAUGAAUGAGUUUGAACUAACCAAGUGUCUAUUCUUACGUUCUUUAAUGUUGAAACAGUGUAAAAAUCAGAAGCGUGACUCACUGUAAAAAGUGAGGAUUUGAUUAUUUUUGAAAGGUUGUCUUGAUAAUCUUUGUUUAAAAAGUAACCAGGUCAGAACAGCAGCUCACUGUGAAAAGUGAUGUUUUUGGUUACCAUAGGAAACUGAUGUUUUUGAUAGAUUUGACUAAAAAGAGGAACUUAUGCUUUAUGAAAUGGGAAUGCUUUUAAGAGUUUUGAUUACUAUUAAACUGAGAUGUUUUAGAAAGAGGUUUGACUACUGUUAAAAUAAGAGGUUUUAACCUGGUAAUGAGGUGAGAAGUCAGGAGCUAAGUGAACUAGGGUCAAAUGAUUCACCGUAAAGAUUAAACUCAGAAUAGAUUGGGGAUUUUUAGCAGUCUGUAAACAUUGUCCAAAAGAUUGCACAAUGGGAUGCCAGCGACAGUUAGAGGCUGACAUCUGUUUUUCCAUUUCCUGAUCAGGAGCCUGUGCUGAGCUGCAGACAGGACAGAUCAGGGGGGGCAAGAUGGGCUGUCUGGACAGUCCGAAACAGAUAGUUUCAGUUCCUUAAAAGUGGAGGUGUCCAUGCGGUCGGUGCAUGGUACAAGUGUGUGAGUUGGGAGGGGGUAGAGAUGAAGUUAUUGCUCAAAUUAAUUUAGUAUGACAUCAUUGCUAUGUUAAAGAUGGAGUCAUUGCAUAUGCAUAAGGUUCAGUAAACUAUAAAUUACAUCUGAUCGAGACACAAGUUGGGAGUCAUUGGGGGGUAGUCGCUUGAUGCAAACCAGGCUAGAAAUGCCCUGAGCUAAGGGGAUGUUAUCACGCAACUCGGACGGGGAAUUCAACAUGAUCUGCAAAGGAAUAACUGUUCUAUUGGAAUUAUGGACCAAAGUACUGCGUUUUCUGCAGUGUUGGAGGAUUACAGAACUGUGAUCUGGAAAUAAUGCUGUCUGAAGGAACAUUACUGAACUCUAUUUUCCAUGUGAGGAAUAACACCUGAAUGGAUUAACAAAAUUUUUACUGGCCCAAACAACAAAAAUGGAUAUAUGCAGAUCUAAAUCUGGUCCAGACCCCUGUCCACUUCCCCCUGGGCCCCGGCGGGUCUCAAACACUUGUCGGGUUUCAGUUGUGUGACCCUCCCUACCCGCUGUCUGCUCUCUGCCUCAGCUUCAGUUGCUGCCUGAUCUCCUGGAUCCUCCGCCUGGCUUCUGAACCUGCCGAAACGGUAUUCCUGCUUCCCCAUGCACCUCCUCCUCCCUGAUUCCCUCAUCCGCUCUCUGGGGUAUUUAGAUUACCUUUGUGCUUGUGUGUACUGUUGAAUGUUUAGUUACCACUCCAUUUUGUUUCGCAGUGUUCAGCGUAUUGUUAAUGUUAAUCAUGUUACACGUCAAUAUGCUGCCUCUGACUUUCUAGUUGAUUGCAUCAAGUCUUGGAUAGCCAAUCUUGUAAGUAGAUUCUGUUUGUAUAAGAUUGAAUCUGUUAGUAGUGUUAUAAUUUGUAUCUCAGAAUUCUGUCCUACUCCAUUGUUUCCAAUAGUACUUUUUAGUUGAAUUCCCCUCCAGUGCUAUAGUUGUCUCCCUUGGGAGAAGUCAGCCUUGUGUACCCUGUUACAUGAAUUGAUUUUUUCCCUUUGCCCUUCUUGUAAAUUACUGUAAAUAUUUGUGUGUGAACAGAGAUUAUUGUUGUGACAUUUAAUGACUGGCACAAACACUAAUUUGGAUGAAGUAUGUAAUUUUCCGUAUACAGUGGUCUGAAAACCACUGAAAAACUGUGAGCAACUUUUCUCUAUGAAAAAGAUGAACAAAACAUCAUACAGGAGUCACCUCACUGAUAUCUUCACCUGAGAAUCACCACAGAUUAAAAACUGAUUCCAAACAUUGAACUUGCAGUCAAGAAAAAUUCCCAAGCAUCUGGCCUCUAUGUUUUCAUUUUGUAAUUUUCUAUUCAAGUUACAUGAUUCCAGACCAUUAGUAGCUAUAUGUUUGAAAUAUAUAUGCAUUUCAACAGAUUGAUCAAAAAUAAACUCAUUGUGUUUGUUGAUAUUAAUAAAAGAAACAGAGUGGUUUAAGAUUUUCAUUGAAGAACAUUUUAUUUAGGCAGUUUUGGCUGCCUGCAAGAAAACGUUUUCAUUAAAAAUGACAGGAAUACAAAAAAAAUUAAAUCCACAAAUGUGUCUUUCA